AGUGCCGUGAUGUAAUGUCGUGGAGCAUUCCUGCUGGGAUAUGUAGCAGGUGAUGUGGGUUCGAGUCCCACCUGCGCAA
rnacentral:tRNA from 1 species